rnacentral:misc_RNA from 1 species
UUUCUCUCACACUCACUCACUCUUCUCAUCACAAAAAAUUCACACACCCACACAAUGGCUUCCACCAUUAAAAAAGUGAAUAUGAUUACUCAAAUUGUACGUCUCAAACAAGUUGUUAAGCGAUGGAAACAUAAAUCCCUUAAGCGCCGUGGCGUUUUAUCCUAUUCCUCAUCCGAUUCAGAUGAACCGGUUUUACCCGGUUCGAACCGCCGUCGUCGCACCCCUUCAGGAUCUUUAGCGGUUUACGUCGGUCCAGAACGAACCCGGUUCGUUAUACCAACCCGGUUCUUGAACCUCCCUGUAUUUAUAUCUCUACUUGAUAAAGCAGAGG